UUGCAUCGCUUGCAUGCCAUCACACUGUGGGAGGUUUUAUAGGACUUUGCGUCGAUAUUUUCGCCAUUUGUUUCUCGAUCCAAGGCAUCGAACAAGGAAUGUCGACACUAUGAAUUCAAUUUUACUUCAAUGGAAUUGGAAAAGCUUGGUAAAAACUCGAAAAGAGAUUUAAUAUCCCGCUGCGAAUAACCGUGGUUAUUACCAGCUCUACAAGCCGUUUACCUCCCUCAGCCAGAUAUUUUCCUCACGGAAAAAAACACAAUCUUUCUUUAUCCACGGCAGGAACGAAUGAAAUGGAUCAGGGUCUUUGCAACAAGCUGAUGGGAAUCGGUCGAUCAUUCUUGUAGGACAUGUAGUGGAGGGGGGUGGUCACUUAGGAAGGAAUUCGUAUUUUGCAAACUGUUUCAUUAAAGAUGUUAUACAAUAAAAUUCUCGUUACUA